rnacentral:tRNA from 1 species
GUCGGGAUAGCUCAAUUGGUAGAGCAGAGGACUGAAAAUCCUCGUG